AUCUAUCCAUUUUAAUCCUAAUAAGCGGUCGUGUUUGAAUGAUGCUGGAUAAUCUAGAGUCUCCCUUGAAUUUUACUAAAACCAAGUACACCAACUAGUAGAGCAAGUUUUUGUGAACAUUUCUGUUUAUUUUCACUUUCACUAAAAGUUAUUCUAUUUCUUUACCAAGCAUUUAACAAAAAAAAAUUCCCAAUGGUAUUCUAAUCGAGGCGAAUGCAUUGGGCCACGCCCAUUUUUCUAAUAUCGGCUUAGUUCUUUUUUCUUCCAACACUCUGUCGAGUGUUGCCAUUUGCGCUGGCAGUUCAAACGAACACUCACGAAAAGUGGCAUUUAUAGGGAAAGUUUCCUGGCAUCGCUGGCUGUGCUGCUGGUGGUGUUGACGGCCAGCCUUUGUUCUUUUUUGCCUUCGUCUCUCGCUCGGUUUUCUUCAGCCUUCGGUUGGAAUGCAAAGUGAAAAUUGAAACGUCAAACGACUUGACGCGUUUGUUUUUUUGAUGGCGCUUGCUAAUUUAUUACAUUUUUCGGGAUUAUUCUUCAAGUGAGUGCCUUACUAAUGAUCAAAAGAACAUGUUGCCGGUAGUUGGAAGCAAUUUCAUAUCUUAAGCGCCGUGAAAAAGUAAGCGAAAGUGAAAAGGUAAUUUUGGCGAUAUUCAUUAAGCGUUUGAGGGAUUCUCGUGUGUGUCACUGUGUGUGCCAACAAAAUGAUGAGAAGUGGUCUCGCAAAAUACAAAUUAUGAUCAAAAGUGCAUUAAAUGUGAUCUUUUUGGCCAGUAAGUGGCAUACAUUUGAGUGCUUACUCGAGGCGGUGCUGUUGCUGGUAAGUUUAUAGCCCAAAUAGUAUUUUUGGAGCUUUAAUCGAGCAUCAAACUCUCCAUAUGACGAAGAUAGGUGUUUGAUUGGAAAGGGUAGAUUUCCCCUAUAUCUUGAAAACGGGGCCCUUUAUCAAAAAAUCUGUAAAGUAAUUUUCGAUUGCAAAUUCAAUUUUGUAUAAAAAAAUGAGGUCAAAAAAAUUUUAUGUAUGAAAUUUCGAUUUUUUCCAAAAAUCACCAGUUUUUCAAAAAAUCAUAACUCGGCGGCAGAUUUUUUGACCAUGUUUCUCUAUAGCUCAAAAGUUGCGGAUUUUUGUCCCCUAAAACAUAUCAAAAAAUCUCGAAAAUCAAAAAAUACGUAUUUUGGGAAUUUGAGUUUUUGUAAAAAAAAAGUUAAUAAAAAAAUCGGGAAAUUUUUUUUCCAUGUACCUAUUUUUUUCUAAAUAGUCCUUAACAAUACCUACAACUUUGCCGAAGACACCAAAUUGAUCAAAAAAUUCCUUCAAAAGUUACAGAUUUUCGAAUAUUUACGUACCAUUUUUGUAUGAACAGCUGCCAAAUUUGUAUGGAAAUUUAUAUGGACAAACUAAUGAUGUAUGUUUUGUGUGUUAUGUAUGUUAUGUUUUGUAGAGAAUUGCUCAUUUGAACAAAUUUAAAAUAACUUUAUUUUGUUCAAUUUCUGGUUCCUUAUAACAAAAAUCCUAAAUUGUGAGCUCUUUAAACGAAAAAUUUGCUGUUGGGUACCAGAAGCUUAAGUAAAACAAAGGGGGUAUCUAGCCAAGAAAGGGCUAAGAAUCGUUAUUCUAAAAUUAUUUGUUUUUAUUUUUCACACCUUCGUAAUUAAAAGUGAAGUACGAUCUUGAGUACGAUUGAAUAAAGUACUAGUUAAAUCACGAAUAACUUUUUAUAAGCACUACCAAAUUUUGAUUAAGCGCAACUCCGACAAACGCCGGAAGACCGGUCUAUACUAUUUUACAGGUCAUUGAGUUUGGUUGUCAAAGUGAAAAACAAAACAAAAUCAAGUGAUGUGUGCGACGUCUCCCAGUUUUUUGCUCGGAAAAUGUCCAUAAAACCCGGCAGGGUACAAACAAGGCGCGGUAGGUAGUGCCAUCUUCUGUGUGCGGCCAAGACCGUCGAUUUGGUUACCGUUACGCAAAUGAUCUUCAUCCCGAUGACGAUCAGCUGCCCAGAUCUGGAUGAAAGUGCACUCUGUGUAACUGUUUACGGUGAUCGAGUUUCUGAACGAAACUGCUGGUAGAGGAUGGUGAAAGUGAUCCUGGUCGAUUUGUGGAAGUUAAGACCGAUAUGAUAGUGCAAGCUACGGCACUGGAUUUGUACGCGACGAUGUCUGGAAUGUAAUUCUGCUGCGAAGCAACGCCACCCUGCCGGAAGCCGGAUGCGUCCCCCGACAAUAUCAAACUGCCAGAACGUACUCGGUCGAAACACAAAGUCGCUGCAUUCGAUGGUGACAACUCGCCCACGACGUCGGUCUGUAGAUCCAAGAAGCUCAAACAAGUCUGGAUCAAGCUUCCGUCGAGGUCGUCAACGCUAUGGAGGCUUCGCAAGCUUCCGUCACGACUAGCGGAAUCAGGACGCAAGUGGUUUUAGUACAGAAGGUGGGAUUCUACAGUUACAAUAUUUGAUCGAACUGCUGGAGUGCGAGAUGAUUAUAGAAA